rnacentral:rRNA from 1 species
AUUGAACGCUGGCGGCAGGCCUAACACAUGCAAGUCGAACGGAGCGGCGGACGGGUGAGUAAUGCCUAGGAAUCUGCCUGGUAGCGGGGGCUAACGUCCGGCAACGGGCGCUAAUACCCCUUACUCUCACAUGAGACUCGGUCGGUUUAGCUAGUUGGUGGGGUAAAGGCCUACCAAGGCGACGAUCCGUACCUGGUACGAGAGUAUGUGCAGUCAAACUGGAACUGAGAGACGGUCCAGACUCCUACGGGAGGCAGCAGUGGGGAAUAUUGGACAAUGGGCGAAAUCCUGAGCCAGCCAUGCCGCGUGUGUGAAGAAGGUCUUCGGAUUGUAAAGCACUUUAAGUUGGGAGGCGUUACCAACAGAAUAAGCACCGGCUAACUUCGUGCCAGCAGCCGCGGUAAUUC